UGGGGAAUAUUGGACAAUGGGCGCAAGCCUGAUCCAGCCAUGCCGCGUGUGUGAAGAAGGCCUUUUGGUUGUAAAGCACUUUAAGCGAGGAGGAGGCUACUUGGAUUAAUACUCUAAGAUAGUGGACGUUACUCACAGAAUAAGCACCGGCUAACUCUGUGCCAGCAGCCGCGGUAAUACAGAGGGUGCGAGCGUUAAUCGGAUUUACUGGGCGUAAAGCGUGCGUAGGCGGCUUCUUAAGUCGGAUGUGAAAUCCCUGAGCUUAACUUAGGAAUUGCAUUCGAUACUGGGAAGCUAGAGUAUGGGAGAGGAUGGUAGAAUUCCAGGUGUAGCGGUGAAAUGCGUAGAGAUCUGGAGGAAUACCGAUGGCGAAGGCAGCCAUCUGGCCUAAUACUGACGCUGAGGUACGAAAGCAUGGGGAGCAAACAGG
rnacentral:rRNA from 1 species